rnacentral:rRNA from 1 species
AGUGAACGCUGGCGGUAGGCCUAACACAUGCAAGUCGAACGGCAGCACAGUAAGAGCUUGCUCUUACGGGUGGCGAGUGGCGGACGGGUGAGGAAUACAUCGGAAUCUACUUUUUCGUGGGGGAUAACGUAGGGAAACUUACGCUAAUACCGCAUACGACCUACGGGUGAAAGCAGGGGAUCUUCGGACCUUGCGCGUUUGAAUGAGCCGAUGUCGGAUUAGCUAGUUGGCGGGGUAAAGGCCCACCAAGGCGACGAUCCGUAGCUGGUCUGAGAGGAUGAUCAGCCACACUGGAACUGAGACACGGUCCAGACUCCUACGGGAGGCAGCAGUGGGGAAUAUUGGACAAUGGGCGCAAGCCUUAUCCAGCCAUACCGCGUGGGUGAAGAAGGCCUUCGGGUUGUAAAGCCCUUUUGUUGGGAAAGAAAAGCAGCAGGUUAAUACCCCGCUGUUCUGACGGUACCCAAAGAAUAAGCACCGGCUAACUUCGUG